UGUAGGAGCGAGCUUGCUCGCGAUAGGCCGAAGGUCGCUUGUGAGUUCGCUAUCGCAUCGCGAGCAAGCUCGCUCCUACA
rnacentral:misc_RNA from 1 species